UACGUAGGGGGCGAGCGUUUGUCCGGAUUUACUGGGCGUAAAGCGCGUGUAGGCGGAAGCCUAAGUCCGAUCUGAAAGCCCCCGGCUCAACCGGGGAUCCGGACCGGAAACUGGGCUUCUUGAGGACGGCAGGGGAGUGUGGAAUUCCUGGUGUAGCGGUGAAAUGCGUAGAGAUCAGGAGGAACACCCAUGGCGAAGGCAGCACUCUGGACCGGACCUGACGCUGAGACGCGAAAGCGUGGGGGGCGAACGGG
rnacentral:rRNA from 1 species